AAUGAACGCUGGCGGCGCGCCUAAUACAUGCAAGUCGAGCGAGAGGACGUAGCAAUACGUUUGUAAAGCGGCGAACGGGUGAGGAAUACAUGGGUAACCUACCCUCGAGUGGGGAAUAACUAGCCGAAAGGUUAGCUAAUACCGCGUACGCUUCUUGGACUUCGGUUCAGGGAGGAAAGCGAUGCCGAGGGUAUCGCGCUCUUGGAUGGGCUCAUGUCCUAUCAGCUUGNGGUGAGGUAACGGCUCACCAAGGCUUCGACGGGUAGCUGGUCUGAGAGGACGAUCAGCCACACUGGCACUGCGACACGGGCCAGACUCCUACGGGGAGGCAGCAGUAAGGAAUAUUGCGCAAUGGGCGAAAAGCCUGACGCAGCGACGCCGCGUGGGGGAGU
rnacentral:rRNA from 1 species